rnacentral:rRNA from 1 species
AUUGAACGCUGGCGGCAUGCCUUACACAUGCAAGUCGAACGGCAGCACGGGAGCAAUCCUGGUGGCGAGUGGCGAACGGGUGAGUAAUAUAUCGGAACGUGCCCGGUCGUGGGGAUAACGUAGCGAAGCUACGCUAAUACCGCAUACAAUCUACGGAUGAAAGACGGGGGAGUCGCAAGACCUCGCGCGAUUGGAGCGGCCGAUAUCAGAUUAGGUAGUUGGUGAGGUAAAGGACGUCACCAAGCCGACGAUCUGUAGCUGGUCUGAGAGGACGACCAGCCACACUGGGACUGAGACACGGCCCAGACUCCUA